rnacentral:rRNA from 1 species
UGGUGGAUUAGUGGCGAACGGGUGAGUAACACGUGAGUAACCUGCCCUUAACUCUGGGAUAAGCCUGGGAAACUGGGUCUAAUACCGGAUAUGACUCCUCAUCGCAUGGUGGGGGGUGGAAAGCUUUUUGUGGUUUUGGAUGGACUCGCGGCCUAUCAGCUUGUUGGUGAGGUAAUGGCUCACCAAGGCGACGACGGGUAGCCGGCCUGAGAGGGUGACCGGCCACACUGGGACUGAGACACGGCCCAGACUCCUACGGGAGGCAGCAGUGGGGAAUAUUGCACAAUGGGCGCAAGCCUGAUGCAGCGACGCCGCGUGAGGGAUGACGGCCUUCGGGUUGUAAACCUCUUUCAGUAGGGAAGAAGCGAAAGUGACGGUACCUGCAGAAGAAGCGCCGGCUAACUACGUGCCAGCAGCCGCGGUAAUACGUAGGGCGCAAGCGUUAUCCGGAAUUAUUGGGCGUAAAGAGCUCGUAGGCGGUUUGUCGCGUCUGCCGUGAAAGUCCGGGGCUCAACUCCGGAUCUGCGGUGGGUACGGGCAGACUAGAGUGAUGUAGGGGAGACUGGAAUUCCUGGUGUAGCGGUGAAAUGCGCAGAUAUCAGGAGGAACACCGAUGGCGAAGGCAGGUCUCUGGGCAUUAACUGACGCUGAGGAGCGAAAGCAUGGGGAGCGAACAGGAUUAGAUACCCUGGUAGUCCAUGCCGUAAACGUUGGGCACUAGGUGUGGGGGACAUUCCACGUUUUCCGCGCCGUAGCUAACGCAUUAAGUGCCCCGCCUGGGGAGUACGGCCGCAAGGCUAAAACUCAAAGGAAUUGACGGGGGCCCGCACAAGCGGCGGAGCAUGCGGAUUAAUUCGAUGCAACGCGAAGAACCUUACCAAGGCUUGACAUGGACCGGACCGCCGCAGAAAUGUGGUUUCCCCUUUGGGGCCGGUUCACAGGUGGUGCAUGGUUGUCGUCAGCUCGUGUCGUGAGAUGUUGGGUUAAGUCCCGCAACGAGCGCAACCCUCGUUCUAUGUUGCCAGCGCGUGAUGGCGGGGACUCAUAGGAGACUGCCGGGGUCAACUCCGAAGGAAGGUGGGGACGACGUCAAAUCAUCAUGCCCCUUAUGUCUUGGGCUUCACGCAUGCUACAAUGGCCGGUACAAAGGGUUGCGAUACUGGGGAGGUGGAACUAAUCCCAAAAAGCCGGUCUCAGUUCGGAUUGGGGUCUGGAACUCGACCCCAUGAAGUCGGAAUCCCUAGUAAUCC